rnacentral:rRNA from 1 species
UGGCUCAGAGCGAACGCUGGCGGCAGGCCUAACACAUGCAAGUCGAACGAACUCUUCGGAGUUAGUGGCGGACGGGUGAGUAACACGUGGGAACGUGCCUUUAGGUUCGGAAUAACUCAGGGAAACUUGUGCUAAUACCGAAUGUGCCCUUCGGGGGAAAGAUUUAUCGCCUUUAGAGCGGCCCGCGUCUGAUUAGCUAGUUGGUGAGGUAAAGGCUCACCAAGGCUACGAUCAGUAGCUGGUCUGAGAGGAUGACCAGCCACAUUGGGACUGAGACACGGCCCAAACUCCUACGGGAGGCAGCAGUGGGGAAUCUUGCGCAAUGGGCGAAAGCCUGACGCAGCCAUGCCGCGUGGAUGAUGAAGGUCUUAGGAUUGUAAAAUCCUUUCACCGGUGAAGAUAAUGACUGUAGCCGGAGAAGAAGCCCCGGCUAACUUCGUG